rnacentral:rRNA from 1 species
UAGUAGUACGGAAUAAUUGUUGGAAACGGCAACUAAUACCGUAUAUGCCCUACGGGGGAAAAAUUUAUUGCUAUUAGAUGAGCCUAUAUUAGAUUAGCUAGUUGGUGGAGUAAUAGCCUACCAAGGCAAUGAUCUAUAGCUGAUCUGAGAGGAUGAUCAGCCACACUGGAACUAAGAUACGGUCCAGACUCCUACGGGAGGCAGCAGUGGGGAGUAUUGGACAAUGGGCGAAAGCCUGAUCCAGCCAUGCCGCAUGAGUGAAGAAGGCCUUUGGGUUGUAAAGCUCUUUUAGUGAGGAAGAUAAUGACGGUACUCACAGAAGAAGUCCUGGCUAACUCCGUGCCAGCAGCCGCGGUAAUACGGAGAGGGCUAGCGUUAUUCGGAAUUAUUGGGCGUAAAGGGCGCGUAGGCUGGUUAAUAAGUUAAAAGUGAAAUCCCGAGGCUUAACCUUGGAAUUGCUUUUAAAACUAUUAAUCUAGAGAUUGAAAGAGGAUAGAGGAAUUCCUGAUGUAGAGGUGAAAUUCGUAAAUAUUAGGAGGAACACCAGUGGCGAAGGCGUCUAUCUGGUUCAAAUCUGACGCUGAAGCGCGAAAGCGUGGGGAGCAAACAGGAUUAGAUACCCUGGUAGUCCACGCUGUAAAC